CCCUUAGAUGUCCGGGGCCGCACGCGCGCUACACUGAAGGAAUCAGCGUGGCUUUCUCCCUGACCCGAAAGGGUUGGGAAACCCGUUGAAUCUCCUUCGUGAUAGGGAUUGGGGCUUGAAAUUGUUCCCCAUGAACGAGGAAUUCCCAGUAAGCGCGAGUCAUAAGCUCGCGUUGAUUACGUCCCUGCCCUUUAUACACACCGCCCGUCGCUACUACCGAUUGAACGGUUUAGUGAGGGCCUCGGAUUGGUCUCGGCCCGCUCUUUACCGGGCGGCGCCGUUGGUCGAGAAGACGCUCGAACUUGAUCGUUUAGAGGAAGUAAAAGUCGUAACA
rnacentral:rRNA from 1 species